GAUGAACGCUGGCGGCGUGCCUAAUACAUGCAAGUCGAGCGAACAGACGAGGAGCUUGCUCCUCUGACGUUAGCGGCGGACGGGUGAGUAACACGUGGAUAACCUACCUAUAAGACUGGGAUAACUUCGGGAAACCGGAGCUAAUACCGGAUAAUAUAUUGAACCGCAUGGUUCAAUAGUGAAAGACGGUUUUGCUGUCACUUAUAGAUGGAUCCGCGCCGCAUUAGCUAGUUGGUAAGGUAACGGCUUACCAAGGCAACGAUGCGUAGCCGAACUGAGAGGGUGAUCGGCCACACUGGAACUGAGACACGGUCCAGACUCCUACGGGAGGCAGCAGUAGGGAAUCUUCCGCAAUGGGCGAAAGCCUGACGGAGCAACGCCGCGUGAGUGAUGAAGGUCUUCGGAGCGUAAAACUCUGUUAUUAGGGAAGAACAAAUGUGUAAGUAACUAUGCACGUCUUGACGGUACCUAAUCAGAAAGCCACGGCUAACUACGUG
rnacentral:rRNA from 1 species